AGCAGUCGCCGCGGUAAUACGUAGGGUGCGAGCGUUAAUCGGAAUUACUGGGCGUAAAGCGUGCGCAGGCGGUUAUAUAAGACAGAUGUGAAAUCCCCGGGCUCAACCUGGGACCUGCAUUUGUGACUGUAUAGCUAGAGUACGGUAGAGGGGGAUGGAAUUCCGCGUGUAGCAGUGAAAUGCGUAGAUAUGCGGAGGAACACCGAUGGCGAAGGCAAUCCCCUGGACCUGUACUGACGCUCAUGCACGAAAGCGUGGGGAGCAAACAGGAUUAGAUACCCCUGUAGUCCCUGUCUCUUAUAC
rnacentral:rRNA from 1 species